GCGCUCCCGGGAAGGGGGUGGUGCGUGGAUCCGACCCUGGGCCCCGCCCCGCGGCGCACGCCGAGCCAGCGGCCCCGGAGGGCGCGGCCACCGGAAUCCUGCUGGGGGCGGAUUAAAGAACUUGACUGCUCACCAGGAAUUCAGGUUCCUUAAGAUCUUGGCGCUUCAUCCUUAAAACCAUAAGAGCUGAUUGUUCCCAGAUCCUGACCCGAUGACAUUCCUUCCUCCGUUGUUGGCCUUGUCCCAGGCAUCUUUUCAAGAAAAGUAAUUAAACUAAGAGGAUUCAGUUUCCUGGGUCCUACAAAACAGAAGUGGUGGCCGCUGCAUAGCGAGCGCGUGGGGUAAGGGGGUUAGGGAAGGAGGACGUUGGCUACCAGAGAGGAACUCCCCUUCCAGACUAUCAAGGGUCUGUAACAUCCUCCACAAAUUCCUGUCUAAUUCCCAGGACGCUCGUGGGAAAAUCAAGGAAGGGCCACUUGAGACUACAUGACUAAAAGCUGUGUUCUCUCCCAAGGAGAGCGAUCAGAGUGUAGUGAAUGGAGAUAGGACCUAAGGAGGAUUUCUAGGAUCCUCUAAAAUGUGUUUGAAAAGUUAACAAGGUAGUAGGUCAUAAUUACCCGUCAUAUCCACUUGGCCUCUCACAUUUCAAAGGCACAUGAAUUGGAACUUAUGGAUGAGGGAUUUAGUUUACAUUUAAGAAAAGUAGAUCCACUUUGCUUUUCUGCUGUAGUUCUCUUUCUUUGGAGGUCCUUAACCACAGGCAUAAAAUGGGCUGGAUUAAUUUAAGGUGUAGAAUUGAUGAGAAGCACACAAAUAUGAUCACCUUCCUCCCCAAAAUUCCUGUUGCAUGUCACUCUGUUGACCGUCCACCUAAAUGAAUGGGGCUGUACUCCUUGAAUUUUCCAGACCCUACAAAUUACUGCUCCUUAAUGGAUUGCAGUCUGGUAACAUUCCAGUGAAAGCGUCCCCCCCCAAAAAAAAAAGGAUAAUUGAUAAUGACGGUUUGGCAAAUCUAGCAACCUUUUCUAGUGUUCAGCUUGAAAAAAAAAUUAUGCACUUGCCUGUAGCAUUUAACAUGGUCUACCAGGCCUUGGUGGAAGCUACUUUCUACCUUGCUUCUAAUAUGGUACACUCUCCCCCCUACAUUUCUAAUUACAGCUCAUGAUACCUAAAACUUCACUAUCUCCAUCGCAUACCAAACCUGCCCCACAUUUUAUUUUGCCAACCUAAGUUAAUUCGUUACUUUAACAAAUGUAUUUAACACUAACUAUUUACUAUGUCUGGAGUAGACAAAAAACAUUUAACAGUAAGAUAUCUGCAGAGCAACCAUCAAUAACAACUACAAGCUAUGUCUUACCCUCAAGAAGCUCAUACUUCAGUUAACAUCACACAGACAAUUACCACAUGGUAUUUAACAAAGAUGUCUGUGUUCCCAGAAAGUGGUGCUCUUUCCAUAAACUCUUUUGUUCCAGUGAGAGCAGGAGUAGGACAGGAGUGGCCAGAGGAGGAACAGGAGAUGAAAAAAUGCAGGUAGUAUGUAGGGACACUUAGUGUGUGAAAUUUGGUUGUGAAGCGGGUGGAGGUAGCUGGGCAGGAAGGAGGGUCUAAGGAGGAUUCUCUGUUUGUGGGGGGUUUAUUUGGUUUUUAAGAUGAGAGCUCCUUGUGGAUGUUUAAAUGCUGAUGGGAAAGGUCUAGGAGACAGGCAGAGGGUGAAGACAGAGAAGAAAGGAUAAGGGAUUAGGCAUUCAACAAAUGCUUGUUGAAUUAACUAAUGCCUGUUACGGAUCAUUGCUGAAGAUAUUGAAGUUGAAAUUAAUAAACUUCACAUUCCCAGUAAAGAUAUGCAGAGUGUGAGACCAGACAGAAAUGACAUUCCUUUCUCCCUCGUCAUGGGCCCUCUCCCAACCUCCUUGUCCUCAGGGGAAGGUAACAGGCAAGCAGAUAAAAGGAGGGAAAGAAGGGCUCCCCAGCUGUUAGAGGAUGGAUGUCAAGUUUUCCAGUUUGACGACAGGUUCAAAAGCACACAGCAACUUCAGAAAAGUCUAAACUUUUAAGACUAUGGCUUUGGGUUUGAUUAUUAAAGUAAGCAAAUAUUUGACCUUUGCCUUUUUUUUUAAACUUUACUUUGAGAUAGGCUACAUAACUGUUCUCAUCCUCACCUUUCAAAAGGAGAAUUGCGCCUACACCUUUUAAGCUUUCAAGUAUAAGGUGGACAUCUAUUGUUUUUCUUACCCUCACGAGCAUCCAUCUCCCCCUUUUCUGAUAACAGCAGCUUUGGGAAAAUAACUCCCUUCCCAGUCCUUAGUCUUUGUGGUUUACAGA